rnacentral:rRNA from 1 species
CCUACGGGUGGCAGCAGUGAGGAAUAUUGGUCAAUGGCCGAAAGGCUGAACCAGCCAAGUCGCGUGAGGGAAGAAUGUCCUAAGGAUUGUAAACUUCUUUUGUCAGGGAGCAAAGUCACGCACGUGAGGGUGUUGGAGAGUACCUGAAGAAAAAGCAUCGGCUAACUCCGUGCCAGCAGCCGCGGUAAUACGGGGGAUGCGAGCGUUAUCCGGAUUUAUUGGGUUUAAAGGGUGCGUAGGCGGGGUGUCAAGUCAGCGGUAAAAGCGUGGAGCUCAACUCCAUCCAGCCGGUGAAACUGAUGAUCUUGAGUGGGCGAGAAGUAUGCGGAAUGCGCGGUGUAGCGGUGAAAUGCAUAGAUAUCACGCAGAACUCCGAUUGCGAAGGCAGCAUACCGGCGCCCGACUGACGUUGAGGCACGAAAGCGUGGGUAGCAAACAGGAUUAGAUACCCGUGUAGUC